rnacentral:rRNA from 1 species
GACGAACGCUGGCGGCGUGCCUAAUACAUGCAAGUCGAACGCAUUUUCUUUCACCGUAGCUUGCUACACCGAAAGAAAAUGAGUGGCGAACGGGUGAGUAACACGUGGGUAACCUGCCCAUCAGCGGGGGAUAACACUUGGAAACAGGUGCUAAUACCGCAUAAUUCCAUUUACUGCAUGGUAGAUGGAUGAAAGGCGCUUUUGCGGCUCUGAUGGAUGGACCCGCGGUGCAUUAGCUAGUUGGUGGGGUCACGGCCUACCAAGGCUGCGAUGCAUAGCCGACCUGAGAGGGUGAUCGGCCACACUGGGACUGAGACACGGCCCAGACUCCUACGGGAGGCAGCAGUAGGGAAUCUUCGGCAAUGGACGCAAGUCUGACCGAGCAACGCCGCGUGAGUGAAGAAGGGUUUCGGAUCGUAAAACUCUGUUGUUAGAAAAGAACAAGGAUGAGAGUGGAAAGUGCAUACCUUGACGGUAGCUAACCAGAAAGCCACGGCUAACUACGUG